UACGUAGGGGGCAAGCGUUGUCCGGAAUCAUUGGGCGUAAAGCGCGUGUAGGCGGCUUGGUAAGUCCGCUCUGAAAGCCCGGGGCUCAACCCCGGGAGGCGGGUGGAUACUGUCAAGCUCGAGUCCGGAAGAGGCGAGUGGAAUUCCUGGUGUAGCGGUGAAAUGCGCAGAGUUCGGGAGGAACAUCCGUGGCGAAGGCGGCUCUCUGGGACGGUACUGACGCUGAGACGCGAAAGCGUGGGGAGCGAACAGG
rnacentral:rRNA from 1 species